AGUUGCAGGGUAUAGACCCGAAACCCGGUGAUCUAGCCAUGGGCAGGUUGAAGGUUGGGUAACACUAACUGGAGGACCGAACCGACUAAUGUUGAAAAAUUAGCGGAUGACUUGUGGCUGGGGGUGAAAGGCCAAUCAAACCGGGAGAUAGCUGGUUCUCCCCGAAAGCUAUUUAGGUAGCGCCUCGUGAACUCAUCUUCGGGGGUAGAGCACUGUUUCGACUAGGGGGUCAUCCCGACUUACCAACUCGAUGCAAACUACGAAUACCGAAGAAUGUUAUCACGGGAGACACACGGCGGGUGCUAACGUUCGUCGUGAAGAGGGAAACAACCCAGACCGCCAGCUAAGGUCCCAAAGUCAUAGUUAAGUGGGAAACGAAGUGGGAAGGCUCAGACAGCCAGGAUGUUGGCUUAGAAGCAGCCAUCAUUUAAAGAAAGCGUAAUAGCUCACUGGUCGAGUCGGCCUGCGCGGAAGAUGUAACGGGGCUAAACUAUGCACCGAAGCUGCGGCAGC
rnacentral:rRNA from 1 species